rnacentral:lncRNA from 10 species
ACUCCCCCUCAGCCACCGCCUCCUCCUCCACCAGCACCACUCCCUCCGGGGCACCCCGGUCCCUGCAGAGUCCCUGGCCGGCGCCGCCUCCGCUGCGGCCCCCUGAAUCCCGAGCCUGCCUCGCCCAAGCUGGUAGGACAGAAGGACAGACAGAUUCCUCUAGCCUAGCGCUCCGCCGCUGCUGCCUUACGCGGCCCCGCGUCGGGAGAACUGGGAUCGCCCCAAGAGCACCGCGAGGGGUCAUCUCAGGCUGGCUGCAUGCCUCAGCUGAAGAUCCCAGCUCCUGUCAAUGCCACCUCUCUGCUUGACUGUCUCCUUCCAGAUUCGAGCAGGUAUGAGCUGGGAAGAAUGAAGGCAGGGCAUGCCCGUGUGCCAGCUCUGCACAGCUGGAUAGCUGAGGAAAGAUGUGGAGGAGAAGCCGGGGAUUGUGUGGAAGUCUAAGGGUGUUGUUUGCCCUUUGGGUUCCAGAAGAUGCAUGCCAGGACCCUGGGUGGCACUGCCAGGAAGCAACAGAGAGGAGAUAAAACUCACAGCAGACAGACUUGCCUUAACAACAACUCCCUUGAAUUAAAACACGCUUUUCAAGAAAACAAAUUAUCAGUUCGAUCAGCAAACAGCAGAGAAGUUUCUCUCAUAAUGGCAAAGAAGGGCCGGGUUGCUGACCAGUGAAAGAGCUUCAGAAAAGGAGAGGGGAGAUGAGAUGGCCAGAAGGAGCAAGAGCACCGUACAUCCCUGGACAACCUCAUUCUAAUGG